rnacentral:rRNA from 1 species
UACGUAGGGGGCAAGCGUUGUCCGGAAUCACUGGGCGUAAAGGCGCGUAGGUGGCGCGGGAAGUCAACGGUGAAAGUUCAGGGCUCAACCCUGAAUCGGCCGUCGAUACUCCCGGGCUUGAGCACUGUAGAGGCAGAUGGAAUUCCGGGUGUAGCGGUGGAAUGCGUAGAGAAUCCGGAAGAACACCGGUGGCGAAGGCGGCCUGCUGGGACAGUUGCUGACACUGAGGCGCGACAGCGUGGGAGCAAACAGG